GGGCGAUUAGCUCAGUUUUGGUCAGAGCGCUUGCUCGACAUGCAAGAGGUCACCUGUUCAAGCCAGGUAUCGCCCA
rnacentral:tRNA from 1 species